AGCUUCUGGUCUCGCUGAUUGGCGGGGUUGUGUCUCUGAGGUGAAGGGAAGAUUAGAGGGAAGGUUGGCUUGCGAAAGGAGGGGGCGGGACGGCACCAGAGGCGAAGGAAGGAGACGUGACCUGGCCCAUCAGCAAUCCUGGCUGGCCAGCCAGGCCCCAAGGAGCUGCUGUGCAGCGCGGCUGGGCCCCAUGAUCUUCACCGACCAGGGAGGCCACUAUGUGGUUUGGCUCAGCCCAGCAAUACCUGAGGGUCAGACCAAGUGAUCUCAAGAGCUGUAUACAGCCCUCGGCAUGGACAUUCCCCACCCCUGCUAUAAGUACUGUGUUCUGGGACUGGAAUUACAGCCUUCACAGUGGAAUGAUGGUCCUUGGGCCCAGAUAAACAGCUCUGGAACUGGAAUGACUAGACUUGAAUCAGUGUUAUGGGACUGGAAUUAUAGCCCCCAAAGUAGAAUAAUCUUAGAAACCAGAUAAACUGAUUUGGGACUUGAAUAACAGCUUCCAGAAUGGAAUGAUGUUCCCAGGAACAAGAUAAACUAAUCUGGGACUUGAAUGACAGCCUGCAGACUGGAACAAGUCUCUAGGAAUGGCUUAAGUAUUUUGGGGCUGGAAUAACCACCACCAGACUGGAUACAGUCCCUAGGAGUGGCAGAAGUGUUCUAGAACUGGAAUGACAGCCCUCUGGAACUGGCCGGACUUACCCUGGGACCCAAUAAACUGAUCUAAGACUUGAAUGACACCACGCCAUCACUGAAAUCAUGUUCUGGGUCCUCAAGUUCAGCUGCAAAGUCCACAUCUGUCAUCACCCCUCCCUUUCUGAUUGUUACACGUCUGUAAUUUACACAUACCAAGUAAGUCCACAGGAUAGACAUGAACAGUCUGCCAGUUGAUAGGAAUGCAGAGACUUGAAUGAUAACAUCUCCAAAACUGCAAUUGGUGUGGGGGGUUCAUGCAUCCAGUUGAUGACAAAAUCUGUCAUCCAUCCAUAGCCAUUUGGGCUAGGUACCUUUACCUGACCUUGAAAAGUGCAUGUCCAAAUUCUUGCUUGGAAGUUGGCCCUAAGUGUGCGAUCUUGGCAUGCUGGGGCAGCUAACUGGACUCCACCUCUCCAUACUUGGCACAAAAAAUGUUCAUAGUGUAGUUCAUUUACAGAAAUAGUGCAGUUAUCUGGGACAUACACUUGAUGGGUGAAUUGCUGUAACUUCUUAACUCAUAUCUUCUCUGGUUGGCUGAAUGUGUCCUGAUAGUUCUUGACUGUUCUCUGUAGUUUCAAGGAAGUUAAUUUAUGCUAGCCUGUAAAAGAACUCACAAUGUCAUAGCCAGCAAUGGCUUGUGGUCCAGUCAAGGCAAUAAACACAUUCUGUCAAAGGGAA